rnacentral:rRNA from 1 species
UACGGGGGGGGCAAGCGUUGUUCGGAAUUACUGGGCGUAAAGGGCUCGUAGGCGGCCAACUAAGUCGGACGUGAAAUCCCUCGGCUUAACCGAGGAACUGCGUCCGAUACUGGAUGGCUUGAGUUCGGGAGAGGGAUGCGGAAUUCCAGGUGUAGCGGUGAAAUGCGUAGAUAUCUGGAGGAACACCGGUGGCGAAGGCGGCAUCCUGGACCGACACUGACGCUGAGGAGCGAAAGCCAGGGGAGCAAACGGG